GCCCCGCCCCCCCGGCAGCCCGCUCCCUGGGGAACCGAGGGAGGAACGGGCGGGGUCCUCAGGUGCCCGGCGACGUCAUCCAGCCCCCAAGGCUCCAGGGCGCAAAGGGUCCCCUGAUCUGGCAGUCCCCGGACCCACCCUGGAGAGCGUGGGGGCACAAAGGCCGGACGCGCCGCCCGCCGCCGCCUCCAGGAAGGCCUCCCUUGCCAGGACCGCGGAGUUGGCCGGGUCCUUCCAAAGUGCCUACAGAAAGCUUUGGCCCAUCCUUGAAAAAUUGCUGAUGGGUUUGGAGAUACAAGGUGGAGAUGACUAGCAGUCAAGCUCAGAGGUGGAAAAGUCACAUCGAGGCAGAUGAGCAGAUGAGGGGACCUAGAGAAGAAGAGAGGGGCAUGGAGAGCCCAGCCAGCAGGAACAAUUGCCCCAGUAGGCAGCACUGCCGCACAUCAGAGUCAAGGAAAGCAAAGCUCAGACUGGAUAAAAGAAACCUGCAAACACAGUCAGUGCUCACUGCAUGUGGGCUCAGAGCACGUGACCCUCCUUCCCUGUGUAUUCCUGUGAAAUGGGUUUACUGCUCUAACUCUCAGGGACACUGUGAAGAUCAAACAAGAAAAUAGAAAUAAACAUAAUUUAUAAACCUUAAACUACCGAUACCAAAAGAGGGGCGAGCUCAACAUUGCGAAUUUGCUGAUACUAAACGGUUCACUUUAAGAUGGUCUUACGGUGUGUGAAUUUCACUCGAAUAAAUUUUUUUAAUGGAGUU